AGAGUUUGAUCCUGGCUCAGGACGAACGCUGGCGGCGUGCUUAACACAUGCAAGUGGAGCGACGAAGCGGGCUUCGGCCCGUGGCAGAGCCGCGAACGGGUGAGUAACACGUGGGUAACCUACCCCGAUGACCGGGACAACCCGAGGAAACUCGAGCUAAUACCGGAUGUUCUCGUUUCUCGUAAGGGAAUCGAGCAAAGAUAGCUUCGGCCUUCGCAUCGGGACGGGCCCGCGGCCCAUUAGCUUGUUGGUGGGGUAAUGGCCUACCAAGGCUGCGAUGGGUAGCUGGUCUGAGAGGACGAUCAGCCACACUGGGACUGAGACACGGCCCAGACUCCUACGGGAGGCAGCAGUGGGGAAUCUUGCGCAAUGCGCGAAAGCGUGACGCAGCAACGCCGCGUGGGGGAAGAAGGCCUUCGGGUUGUAAACCCCUUUCAGUUGGGACGAAGCUUCGCGGGUUAAUAGCCCGCUGGAGUGACGGUACCUUCAGAAGAAGCCCCGGCUAACUACGUGCCAGCAGCCGCGGUAAUACGUAGGGGGCUAGCGUUGUCCGGAAUCAUUGGGCGUAAAGCGCGUGUAGGCGGUCCGGUAAGUCCGCUGUGAAAGUCGGGGGCUCAACCCUCGGAUGCCGGUGGAUACUGUCGGGCUUGAGUACGGAAGAGGCGAGUGGAAUUCCUGGUGUAGCGGUGAAAUGCGCAGAUAUCAGGAGGAACACCAAUUGCGAAGGCAGCUCGCUGGGACGUUACUGACGCUGAGACGCGAAAGCGUGGGGAGCAAACAGGAUUAGAUACCCUAGUAGUCC
rnacentral:rRNA from 1 species